CGGGAUUGCACCACACCAUUCAUCCCUCUUUUUGCUUGCCUGUAAUUGAUAAGAGAUUGAUGGACUUUCCAUAUUGUUGAAAUCAGUUUCCUUCCGAUCUUAAUUGCAAUCACAAUAAUCCCACUCCUUAUAACGGGCCAUUCAGAAAACCCUAAAUCUCAAACACAAAGAUUAUCAUCCAGACCCCAAGAUUUCUUCAUCUUCAAUCGCGAUUGAAAGCAACCAGUCUUUAUGGAGAAAUUGAUUGAAAGCCAAAUUAAAUGCUGAGGACGAGUUGCAGUGAUCAGGUAAGUCGUGUAUAUCUAUUUUCGAAUCUUAAUUCCUCUCUUUCUUGUAACCACACAUCACCGUUGUGCUCUCUGCUCGAUUUCAAAUAACGGAGCUCUUAAACCGUUUGAUAUCAGUGCUUUCAAAACUAGAAGAUUAUAUGGUUUUGCUAUUCUUAGAUGAACACAAGCAGAUCAAUUUGACUGUCAUUUGCUCUGCUGCAUCCUUUGUUUUUUACUGAGAUGUUACAGGGAUCUUCAUAUUUGAUAUUGUCGAUCUUCGUAUAAUGGCCACCGCCAUGAGACAACUGAGGAAUGAUACGCUGCCAUUCAUUCUGACAUCCAUCUUGAUAUGGUUCUUCACAUAAUGGAAGGUAUUUUUUUAUUGUUUACAGUUUGUAAUAACUAUAUUGAAUUAUUGAUGGAGUCAUGGAGACAUGGACAAUAUUAUCAUCCAUUGAUUUGUAAUGCUUAUAAUGUAAUAAUACUUAUAAGUAUUAAUGUAGAUUCACUCUAUUUUUAA